GGGUUGUGAGGUUAAGCGACUAAGCGUACACGGUGGAUGCCCUGGCAGUCAGAGGCGAUGAAGGGCGUGCUAAUCUGCGAUAAGCGCCGGUAAGGUGAUAUGAACCGUUAUAACCGGCGAUACCCGAAUGGGGAAACCCAGUGUGACUCGUCACACUAUCAUUAACUGAAUCCAUAGGUUAAUGAGGCGAACCGGGGGAACUGAAACAUCUAAGUACCCCGAGGAAAAGAAAUCAACCGAGAUUCCCCCAGUAGCGGCGAGCGAACGGGGAGGAGCCCAGAGCCUGAAUCAGCAUGUGUGUUAGUGGAAGCGUCUGGAAAGGCGCGCGAUACAGGGUGACAGCCCCGUACACAAAAAUGCACAUGCUGUGAGCUCGAUGAGUAGGGCGGGACACGUGGUAUCCUGUCUGAAUAUGGGGGGACCAUCCUCCAAGGCUAAAUACUCCUGACUGACCGAUAGUGAACCAGUACCGUGAGGGAAAGGCGAAAAGAACCCCGGCGAGGGGAGUGAAAAAGAACCUGAAACCGUGUACGUACAAGCAGUGGGAGCACCCUUUGGGGUGUGACUGCGUACCUUUUGUAUAAUGGGUCAGCGACUUAUAUUCUGUAGCAAGGUUAACCGUAUAGGGGAGCCGGAGGGAAACCGAGUCUUAAUUGGGCGUUAAGUUGCAGGGUAUAGACCCGAAACCCGGUGAUCUAGCCAUGGGCAGGUUGAAGGUUGGGUAACACUAACUGGAGGACCGAACCGACUAAUGUUGAAAAAUUAGCGGAUGACCUGUGGCUGGGGGUGAAAGGCCAAUCAAACCGGGAGAUAGCUGGUUCUCCCCGAAAGCUAUUUAGGUAGCGCCUCGUGAACUCAUCUCCGGGGGUAGAGCACUGUUUCGGCUAGGGGGCCAUCCCGGCUUACCAACCCGAUGCAAACUGCGAAUACCGGAGAAUGUUAUCACGGGAGACACACGGCGGGUGCUAACGUCCGUCGUGAAGAGGGAAACAACCCAGACCGCCAGCUAAGGUCCCAAAGUCAUGGUUAAGUGGGAAACGAUGUGGGAAGGCCCAGACAGCCAGGA
rnacentral:rRNA from 1 species